rnacentral:rRNA from 1 species
GACGAACGCUGGCGGCGUGCCUAAUACAUGCAAGUAGAACGCUGAAGAGAGGAGCUUGCUCUUCUUGAAUGAGUUGCGAACGGGUGAGUAACGCGUAGGUAACCUGCCUUGUAGCGGGGGAUAACUAUUGGAAACGAUAGCUAAUACCGCAUAACAAUGGAUGACACAUGUCAUUUAUUUGAAAGGGGCAAUUGCUCCACUACAAGAUGGACCUGCGUUGUAUUAGCUAGUAGGUGAGGUAACGGCUCACCUAGGCGACGAUACAUAGCCGACCUGAGAGGGUGAUCGGCCACACUGGGACUGAGACACGGCCCAGACUCCUACGGGAGGCAGCAGUAGGGAAUCUUCGGCAAUGGGGGCAACCCUGACCGAGCAACGCCGCGUGAGUGAAGAAGGUUUUCGGAUCGUAAAGCUCUGUUGUAAGUCAAGAACGAGUGUGAGAGUGGAAAGUUCACACUG